rnacentral:rRNA from 1 species
GCCUGCCCAGUGACCCUGUUUAACGGCCGCGGUAUCCUAACCGUGCGAAGGUAGCGUAAUCACUUGUUCUCUAAAUAUGGACUAGUAUGAACGGCAUCACGAGGGUUAUACUGUCUCCUUUUUCUAAUCAGUGAAACUAACUUCCCCGUGAAGAGACGGGGAUAAAACUAUAAGACGAGAAGACCCUAUGGAGCUUUAAACAACAUAGCACUUGCCUCAUAAUAAAAGUCUCUGGAUCUCUUUCUCCAAGGCAAUAUGACUAUAAGUUUUUGGUUGGGGUGACCGCGGAGCAAAAUUUAACCUCCACAUUGAAAAUUUUAAACUGAGAAUCACCUUUCUAAGCAUCAAUAUAUUGACACUAAUUGAUCCAAUACAUUUGAACAACGAACCAAGUUACCCUAGGGAUAACAGCGCA